UAACGCGUGAGGAACCUGCCUCAAAGAGGGGGGCAACAGUUGGAAACGACUGCUAAUACCUCAUAAGCCCACAGCUCGGCAUCGAGCAGAGGGAAAAGGAGUGAUCCGCUUUGAGAUGGCCUCGCGUCCGAUUAGCUAGUUGGUGAGGUAAUGGCCCACCAAGGCGACGAUCGGUAGCCGGACUGAGAGGUUGAACGGCCACAUUGGGACUGAGACACGGCCCAG
rnacentral:rRNA from 1 species